rnacentral:rRNA from 1 species
GUAGGUGGCAAGCGUUGUCCGGAAUUAUUGGGCGUAAAGCGCGCGCAGGUGGUUCUUUAAGUCUGAUGUGAAAGCCCCCGGGCUCAACCGGGGAGGGUCAUUGGAAACUGGGGAACUUGAGUGCAGGAGAGGAAAGUGGAAUUCCACGUGUAGCGGUGAAAUGCGUAGAUAUGUGGAGGAACACCAGCGGCGAAGGCGACUUUCUGGCCUGUAACUGACACUGAGGCGCGAAAGCGUGGGGAGCAAACAGGAUUAGAUACCCUGGUAGUCCACGCCGUAAACGAUGAGUGCUAAGUGUUGGGGGGGUUUCCGCCCCUCAGUGCUGCAGCUAACGCAUUAAGCACUCCGCCUGGGGAGUACGGUCGCAAAGACUG